rnacentral:misc_RNA from 1 species
CUUUACGACUCCGUUUCUAGCACCACCAUUCUUCUUAGCCACCGCGUCGUCGCUUCUGCUGUAGUCGAUCUCUACAUCAUACAGGCCAACACAGAGAGGCAAGCCCUCGCCAUCCUUUGUAUAAAUGGCGUUGAGAAUAGGGAUGCUCAAGACCGCAGUUGGUAAGUACGGGUGCACGUUGUCGCUCUUGAGAUGGGCUCACAUCGCAUCAAUGCCUUCACCGUUGGAUGGCUCCCUCCAACGCACGACGGCACCUCCAGAUAUGGUUUUGCCAGAGUUCGAUACGAACCCA